rnacentral:rRNA from 1 species
UAUACAUGUCAGUCACACCGGACUCUGGUAUUGAUUGGUGCUUGCAUCAUGAUUUACAUUUGAGUGAGUGGCGAACUGGUGAGUAACACGUGGGAAACCUGCCCAGAAGCGGGGGAUAACACCUGGAAACAGAUGCUAAUACCGCAUAACAACUUGGACCGCAUGGUCCGAGUUUGAAAGAUGUCUUCGGCNAUCAUUUUUGGAUGGCCCCGGGGCUUAUUAGCUAGAUGGUGAGGUAACGGCUCACAAUGGCAAUGACACGUAGCCGACCUGAGAGGGAAUUCCGCCACUUUGGGACUGAAACCCGGCCCACCUCUUNCGGGACCNGCUUUAGAAAAUCUUCCNAAUGAAAAAAAUUCUGAUNANCCACCCCGNGAAAAAGAAAANNUUUCGGCUNAAUACUUUUUUUAAAAAAACNUUUAAAAAAAUUUUUAGGUUUGAGGUUUUANCAAAANCCCCGGUUAUUACNUGCCCCACCGCAUANAUUUAGGGGAAGGUUUGCCGUUUUUUUGGGAAAAACGGACCCCGGGGGUUUUUUUAAUUCUAAAGGAAAAACCCUUCCCCCCCCCCCAAAAAAAUCCCCCCNAAAAAUGGGAAACUUUUGGGGGGAAAAAAAAAAAAGGGGAACCCCCCGUGGGUGGGGGGGGAAAGGGGUAAAUAUUUGGGAAAAAACCCCUUGGGAAAAAGGGGGGUUCUGGUUGGUUCUUAACCCUAAGCCCCAAAUUUGGGGUAACAAAAGGGUUUAAAACCCCGGGUGCCCCCUCCCCCAAAAAAAAAGGAAGUGUUGGGGGGUUUCCCCCCCUCCUGUGGGGCGCCAACAUUUAAACAUCCCCCCCGGGGGGGCGGGGCGCAGGGUUAAAACAAAGAAUUAAGGGGGCCCCCCACCGGGGGGACAGGGGGUUUUUUUUAAUCCCCAAAACAUACCGGGCUGUG